rnacentral:rRNA from 1 species
GUGGGGAAUAUUGGACAAUGGGCGAAAGCCUGAUCCAGCCAUGCCGCGUGUGUGAAGAAGGUCUUCGGAUUGUAAAGCACUUUAAGUUGGGAGGAAGGGCAGUAAGUUAAUACCUUGCUGUUUUGACGUUACCGACAGAAUAAGCACCGGCUAACUACGUGCCAGCAGCCGCGGUAAUACGAAGGGUGCAAGCGUUAAUCGGAAUUACUGGGCGUAAAGCGCGCGUAGGUGGUUUUGUAAGUUGGAGGUGAAAUCCCCGGGCUCAACCUGGGAACUGUCUCCAAAACUGCAUGACUAGAGUACGGUAGAGGGUAGUGGAAUUUCCUGUGUAGCGGUGAAAUGCGUAGAUAUAGGAAGGAACACCAGUGGCGAAGGCGACUACCUGGACUGAUACUGACACUGAGGUGCGAAAGCGUGGGGAGCAAACAGGAUUAGAUACCCGGGUAGUCC